rnacentral:misc_RNA from 1 species
AAGUCGUAACAAGGUUUCCGUAGGUGAACCUGCGGAAGGAUCAUUAACACGUAUCCAAACCCCCCCGUGAACAUUGAUUCCUGCUCUUGUAAAUCAUAGCCCGGAAAGUAGUUUUGAUUCAGAGACCUCUGGCCCGUGCGAAAAUUGGAAAAGUUACACAAUUCGAGCGGUAGUUCUAUAGGCCUUGUUUCCCCAAGCAGUCAGUGUCUGAAAGUGUCAGUGAUUGUGCAAGGAUAACGCUUCACGAUUCUUGUAGACCGCAUCUCGCGGGCAGGAGCUAGGCCAAAGGGUCCCCAUGCCCCCUUACAACCCCACAGUUAAAUGUGAAGCUCAAUGUAAUACAUUGGGUAAAAAACCGAACAACUGUUAACAAUGGAUAUCUUGGUUCUC